AGUAAUACAUAGGAAUCUGCCUUAUAGUUUGGGAUAACUACUCGAAAGAGUGGCUAAUACCGGAUGUGGACUACGGUUUAAAGCAGGGGAUCUUCGGACCUUGCGCUAUAAGAUGAGCCUAUGCAAGAUUAGCUAGUUGGUGAGGUAAAGGCUCACCAAGGCGACGAUCUUUAGCUGGUCUGAGAGGAUGAUCAGCCACACUGGGACUGAGACACGGCCCAGACUCCUACGGGAGGCAGCAGUGGGGAAUAUUGGACAAUGGGCGGAAGCCUGAUCCAGCAAUACCGCGUGUGUGAAGAAGGCCUUCGGGUUGUAAAGCACUUUUGUCAGGGAGAAUGGUAGUAGAGGUUAAUACCCUUUGCUAUUGAUGUUACCUGAAGAAUAAGCACCGGCUAACUCCGUGCCAGCAGCCGCGGUAAUACGGGGGGUGCAAGCGUUAAUCGGAAUUACUGGGCGUAAAGGGCGCGUAGGUGGUUACUUAAGUCAGAUGUGAAAGCCCCGGGCUCAACCUGGGAAUUGCAUUUGAUACUGGGUAACUAGAGUGUGGUAGAGAGUAGCGGAAUUUCUGGUGUAGCGGUGAAAUGCGUAGAUAUCAGAAGGAACACCAAUGGCGAAGGCAGCUACUUGGGCCAACACUGACGCUGAGGCGCGAAAGCAUGGGGAGCAAACAGGAUUAGAUACCCUGGUAGUCCAUGCUGUAAACGAUGACAACUUGUUGAUGGGAG
rnacentral:rRNA from 1 species